GCUGGUGUAGCUCAGUGGUAGAGCAGGUGAUUUGUAAUCACCAGGUCGGGGGUUCGAAUCCCUCCACCAGCU
rnacentral:tRNA from 2 species